CCCUCUCUCCCCAGCCUCCGCUCUUAGGACGGGGAUCAAGACAGGUAAAACCCAAAAGAGAUCGCGUCGAAGCCCUGCCUAGGGUUGCAGCCUUAAAACUUAAUCAGCCUAGUUUGUUAGUGGCGUGUCCGUCCGCAGCUGGCAAGCGAAUGUAAAGACUGUCUAAGCAUGUAGUACCGAGGAGGUAGGAAUUUCGGCCGCGGGUUCACCCCCCGCCAGCUCCACCA
rnacentral:tmRNA from 1 species